rnacentral:misc_RNA from 1 species
GUAGGUGAACCUGCGGAAGGAUCAUUAUAGUGUUCGCUGCCCUUCACGGGUAGCAAGCCUCACCCUUGCAUAUUCUAUCUUCGUUGCUUUGGCAUGCCACCUCUAGGUACUGGCUCUUCGCCGGCUCGCGCGUGUCAAAGGACCUAAAACUCGUAGUGUCAUUGUCGUCCGAGUACUAUAAAAUAGUUAAAACUUUUAACAACGGAUCUCUUGGUUCUGGCAUCGAUGAAGAACGCAGCAUCUGACUGAC